CCCGCCGGACCCGACCGCUAUCGGAUUCGAUACUAAGCCAUCGCGAGUCAUCGUAGCAAUACAAGGCAUACGGCUCAGUAACGCGUAGUCAACCUAACCUAUGGACGGGAAUAACCUCGGGAAACUGAGAAUAAUGCCCGAUAGAACAUUAUACCUGGAAUGGUUUAUGUUCCAAAUGAUUUAUCGCCGUAGGAUGGGACUGCGGCCUAUCAGUUUGUUGGUGAGGUAAUGGCCCACCAAGACUAUUACAGGUACGGGCUCUGAGAGGAGUAGCCCGGAGAUGGGUACUGAGACACGGACCCAGGCCCUAUGGGGCGCAGCAGGCGAGAAAACUUUGCAAUGUGCGAAAGCACGACAAGGUUAAUCCGAGUGAUUUCUGCUAAAGAAAUCUUUUGUUAGUCCUAGAAACACUAACGAAUAAGGGGUGGGCAAGUUCUGGUGU
rnacentral:rRNA from 1 species